rnacentral:tRNA from 1 species
CCCAUAGCUCAGUUGGUUAGAGCAUCUGACUCAUAAUCAGAGGGUCGCAGGUUCGAGCCCUGCUGGGCC